rnacentral:rRNA from 1 species
AUACGGAGGGGGUUAGCGUUGUUCGGAAUUACUGGGCGUAAAGCGUACGUAGGCGGAUUAGUAAGUUAGGGGUGAAAUCCCGAGGCUCAACCUCGGAACUGCCUCUAAAACUGCUAGUCUUGAGUUCGAGAGAGGUGAGUGGAAUUCCUAGUGUAGAGGUGAAAUUCGUAGAUAUUAGGAGGAACACCAGUGGCGAAGGCGGCUCACUGGCUCGAUACUGACGCUGAGGUACGAAAGUGUGGGGAGCAAACAGAAUUAGAAACCCUAGUAGUCC